GUGUUAUCAGCUUUACAAAUUAACACCAUGCUAGUUUGAUCCUGCUAGAAGUACAGGAAGGCAGAAAUGGAGGAUUAGGAGAAUUACUCAUCUUUUGGAUGAACAGUUUCCAAAUCCCAUUUGGCACAUCACUCUAGACUGGUAAAGGGGAGGCUGACACUGAGGCCACAGACCCAACUGGCUCUAGGACAUCACGUUGUUCAGUCCUUUGCUUAUCUAAUCAUUUGUGUUCUUACCCAGUGCUCACUAGGUCACCCACAUAGCCACUUCCCCUCCCAGCAAAAGUUCCCAGUUUAGGCACCUGUCUGGGAUCAUCCAGUAUCCAAGCUUAGGGGUGAAGGGAGGGAGCAGAGAACUAGUCUCAACUGGUUCGUUGGUAUAUAGGUCUCUUCUCAAUGUUCCUAAAGUGCAUGCAGUGGCAUCCCCCUCAAGGCCUGGCUCCAUGAUUCUGAGAGGACUAGAAUCAGGACAGUCAGAUCUGUGGUCACAUCCUGCCCAAUUCCAGCUCUGAGGUCCAUCAAACCAUCUGCUUCUCCCUUGGCAAGAAGCUCCCUCUGUCUGACUGGCAGCAGGGUCAGUGGCCAUCCUUUUCUACCUUCAGCUGUUGUGCAUCUCCUCCACGUUUUCCUGGAGUAAAGGAACAAGCAGGUUCUUAUCCAAAUACCCAACCUGUGAAGAUGAGACGGCCCUUGGGAAGAGGUAUUAGCCAAGUUUUCAGUAUGAUGCCCGGCAGAAAGAAUUUGUUGUCUUUGUCUUAAGCUUAUUAUCCUCCCAGGUCAUAGGAAGAUCUAAAGUCCAAUCAGUCUCCUUACUCAGAAUUCACAGCUUUCCCCUCAAACUUAAAAUGCCCAUGUCAUUUCACGAGUACCCAUAACUACCCAUCGUUUAGAUACAUGUCCUCCCUUGGUCUAGAAAUCUGCAGCAGUUCCUACUUAAACUGAUGGAUGCUUUGGGCUUUGGAGGUAUCUCAUCCCUAUGCCUGUUGCCCUGAAGCUGCCGGAAGGAAAGGCCCCACUCAACUACUGGGAAGAAAGCCCAUAAUUCAAGGCUUUUAAUACAGUCACUACACAAGCUCUCCCUCUGAUUUAGGAGAUCUUGUUACCUCCUCAUCUACAUGUGCUUAAAAACAAAAAGAAACCUAUAAUUAUUCAAUUCACCUGUGGUCCAAAUAAGUCUCACAUCCAGCCAUUCCCCUGAGAGGGCAGGAGGCCAGACUUUGAACUUUCCACAGCUGGGUCUUCAUUUUACUAGUGAGAUAAAGAGGUGCAGAUUAGGGUGACAGUCCAU
rnacentral:lncRNA from 1 species